UCCGUGCUACGUGAUUGCGACGACAAGGACGGCUAGCAGCAGCGUGUCGCCGAUUUCGUCUUUGCCGACAUCGAACAAGUGCAGCUCGCCGGAGCGGGGCAAGCACCUGAAGUGUUGCGGUCUGCACUGGCGUCGUCUUUCAUUGUGAUGUGAGAGAUCGUAACGCACAGAGACUGCCAGGUGCAUACGAAAGCCUACCAGCAGGGAGUGACUGUGCCAUUUUUAUCUUAACGUCUCAGGUAGAACUUGGCGGCUCCUGCUCCUGCCUUCCGCCACCACCCUGUCCUGACUGUGUCCACGAGAGAGUUGGCAGCCUCAGUGAAGAUGCCAAGCAGGCCGAUGGCAGACAGCAAGAUGCAGGUUGCUGCGAAAUUUUACCCGAGCUGUGCCACACACUCGAGCCAGGCCUCUUGGAUAGGACGCAUAAUCUGACUUCACGCGUCGAUGUCAGAGGAUGCCAGGGAUCAAGGCAACCUGUUGUGCCCCAGCAUUCAACGUUUGGUGACCCUUCUACAUGUUUCACCAAUUUUGCAGCUGUACCUCGGCUGCCAUCUAUCCAAACAGCAUCGCCAGCUGUACCCACUUGUUGAACCAUGAGCAAAUAUUGGCAUGGAGUGUUCCCUGGGCUUGAUGUUCUGUUUGCUCUUUAGAAUUCGUAGCAAAUACGCCUGUUAUAAGUUGUGUUUUUAGUACUGACUUUUUAAUAUUUCCUGUCUCUUGGAAUUCUUAGCAUCAUCUCCUGCUAUUAUAUGUGUAUGUAUGCCCAGUUUCUUGUAGUUCUUUUGUACUUGUGUGUGUAAUUGAUCGGAGUCAUGAGGUCGGCAGAAAACCAGAUGGGGUGAUGAAGUUCGGAAAUUUGCAGGCGCAAGUUGGAAUAGGCUAGCGCAAGACAGGGGUAAUUGGAGAUCGCAGGGAGAGGCCUUCGUCCUGCAGUGGACAUAAAAUAGGCUGAUGAUGAUGAUGAUGUAAUUGAUAGGUUUUUAACUGCUGACUUACAUCAUGUUUUGUUCCUUUGUUAAUCUGCACUGCUGUAAAAUGUUCAAGAAAUUUAACUUAACUAGUGCUCUACGGCAGGAUAAAUUCAAGAGCAAAAUAGAGCACUCAUUUCAAGCACCCAUUAUUUUUGAAAAAGGAAAGAACCUAGGAGCGUGAAAACCCCAGUAUUAUAGAAGGAAAAGCUCGCUGCCCAUCAUAAGUGU